AUAUCCACUUUGUAAAUCUGUGGGUAUCUGCAGAUUUACAGGGCUCUAACCAUAACUGCUUCCAGACUAGUCAGACCCUUCCAUCAUGAACAAGUAUUUCCAGGAGACAAACGGCUAUGUAGUGGCAGGGUGCCUUUCUGAAUGAGUGUCCCUGCAGUGCUCUGCUAAAUCUUCCGAACGCUUUCCUAACACAGAGAUCCACUGGCUAGCCUCCUUUUCUUGCCCCCAUCUGGAAACAUUUAGUUAAAAAUAGGCAAUAUGGGCUACAGUUUCAAAAAGUUCAGCUCUCAUUUAGAUAUUGCAGCUGACUUCUCCUCCUCCCCCCUGAGAAUGAGAAGUGCAAUUGGAUCUGGAGAACAAUGGGAGCUACAGGAUACUAAGCUUGUAGAAAAUUUGACUCUGAACUGUGCUUUUUUGGGGGGAGGGGGAGGGGAAGAGGUGAGCUGUUUGUACAUAACUGGCUCCUAAGGAAUCUAACUACCGCUUGGGUCAUAAGGCAUUACUCUGGAAGCCCCACUGUUCAAGAUCCUGGAGCACUGUGGAAACCACUUUGGAAGAAGCUUCCUGGGAGUGGGUGGUAUCUGUAUAAGGAGACAGCCAGGCCUUCUGGAAUCAAGGAAGAAAUGGUAAGUGGCUUGGGAUUUUGUGUUCAAAGCGGUAGCUGAGCUUUAUGGUACUGGGAAGGAGGGUACAUUUUCUCCUUCCCUCAUGUGGACAGUAGGGUCACAGAUAUUGUGAAAUUCUGUGGGACACCUAGAAUUCCAAAUUCCCUUCUCUUUUACAGUAAUGCUGCCACACAGCUCUUCCCUUCACUGUCAGACCUGGAUCACCUGAAAAUGAAUAAAUAUGCUAGUUGUUUUUGAAAAAAUGAACAUAAAUGAAAAGAGAUGCUUAUUAGCUGCUACUAGGUCUUAGACUUGCCUCCUUCAAGGGAAUGUUAGGGCUGUAUCUCAGAGCUUUUUGGCUCUCUGCAGAUGCAGAAAGAUAACACUAAUGCUUUACAUUUAAUUCAUAUUUUGAAGGUUUUCUUUGUAAUUUAAAGAAAAAUAAGUUUCUAAUCCUUUAUUUUACAUUCUGUUGCAUAUUUGGGAGAGGGGGCAAUGGGACUAAAGCUGGGAACUUGUGUAAUGGGGGAGGGAGCCUGCAUAUAACUGAUAUAUUCAUUUAAAUACUCUUGUUUUUAAAAAUACCUGCUGUGUAUGCAUCUAAGUUAAGAAUAAAUAUACAUGGCAAUUACCUGCAACAUUCUAGAACAGCUGAGGCAUGGAGUGGAAAUGGUGUAGGUUUGCAAUGUCAAGGGUUAAUUGUUAUACUGAGGAAAGUAUAAUGGAGGGCUGUCCCUUAAAGAGCUGUGCCAGACAGGCUUGCCUCUUCAGGUGGAGGAAAUGAAUUCAAUUGGGGAGGAGGAAAAUGCAGUGGUUAAAAGCCUACUUGGGAAAGCAGGAGUAAGCUUGUGGCUCACUCAGCGUAAAGAGCCAAACAGAGGGACUACAAGCAAAGCCCUGUGAGUCAGCAUUUUGUGUAAGGUGUGGGAGUAGAGCUAGGAGCACAGGAAGAGGCCCUGAAAAGGCUACAGGGGCAGAAAGAUCAGUUGGGUAGAGUUCACAAGGCUGGGAAUGCACAGAAGAGAAUGGGGAUAGGUGUGGGUUCUCUGUCUAGUGCCACACUGUUGGGGUGCAGUAAUUCCCUGUCAAUAACACAGAAUUGAGUGGUUGUUUAUACUGUUACCAGCAAGUUGAAGCAGUGACCCCCUGCCAAGGAGGGGAGGAUAAAGAGACUGAGCAGAGUCCAGGAGUGGCUUGAACUGCACAAUGAGGUAAAAAAGGAAACAGCCCCUUAGAAAGCAUGGCUGUGUCCAGCUUAAGGCUGGGACGGAAGACUGGUUUUGUAUUUGUUUGGACUUUGAUACUCUGGAAGAGUGUGAAUUGGCUGGAGAUCUGUUACCUCAGCAACUGAACUGUGCUGAAGGUGAGAGAAGAUAAGGAGAAACUGAAACAGCAGCUGGGCCUGGAGCCAGAGCAGAGGCUCUGGCAGAAAUGGAGGAACUACAUUCAGCCUUCUCCGGUUGGGAAGACUUAUUCUGGGAGAAGAGACUUUUGGAGCACUGGAUGACGGUGAGAGCAGGAGAAGAACAGCUGCUAGAAUCAUUAAGUUGAACAUGGAGAGUCACUUUCAAACUGAGGAGUCCUACUGAGUGACUGAUCCCCAGGAGACGGUAUGUCCAUUGUACACUCUGGAGUCCGCUCUGGUGUUUGAAAUCCUUCAAAAUCUUCCCCAACGUUGCUGUGCGUUUCAGACGACGACAAUGGCCACUGCCAACUCUCUGUUGUUCUGGCUGGUGAAUCUUCAUCGGAAGCAGGCUCUGAGGAUUCCUGUUCUUGUUCAGGCGUGGAGGGUGAGCUCGCUCUCUGACGUCUGGGUUGCCCCGAACAUCCAGGAACCUCCCCAUCUUGCUCCCCAGUGACAUCUGGCAAUCAAAUAGAGGAGCAACAACCACUGUAUCUGAGGCCAGGAAGAUGGAGGAAUCUACAUGCAUUGGACAACACAUAGAAAGAAGCCAAUUGGGAAACCACAGUGUUUGUGUUUGGGCAAAUAGAAGGCCAGACUAAAGUCUAGUGGCUGAACUGGGUAUGUGGCAGUUGAAGUUACUAACCACUUUAUACAAGUGCAUGCUGUCCUGCACCCAUAACACACACAACUGUGCUGCAUCCCAUGGCAUAACUACCAAUACACCUCAUUGUGAUUGUGACAGGAAGUGUCAGUGAACCUCUCAAAAAGCUCACCUAUGAAUUGCAGUGGUGUCACAGUCAGAAAUCCCUGUGAUGAGCUCAGGGUCAAUUGUCCAAAUGAGUCUCCUGUGGUGUCAGAUGUGCGCCACCACUGGUCUGUGUGGUAGCCCUUUGCUGUUCUGAAGCACUGCUGGCUAUCUUCUCUUUUGUCCGACGUUUCACAUCAGCCCACCACCCCUAGUGUUUGGGUUCCCCCCUUCUCCCCGCCAAUCAUUGCUGUAGAGCAACUGUGGUUGCCAACAGCAUUUAUCCUGUGAGCAAUGGCCUCCCGAGCCUUAUCUUUUCUGCAUGCAUGAUUUUCCUCACGGCUUUCUCCAAACAGUAUGCGAGAUCCUAUUUGAAGACAUUGCUCACUAGGAUUUUUUCCUCCCCAACCCGGAUUUUUCCCUCAUGUAAGAUAAACUUCAUUUUGUUCUCUCUUGGCUGUGUCUUCCCUUGCCUGAGGACAGUUGGUGGAAAUGUGGGUGCAAGCGCUUCCCUGUGCACAAUGUAAUAUGGAAGGAGGGGAGAUUGAUUAUGCCAUUCAAGAGGACAUUGCAAAUGUAUUUACUCUAAAUCCACCCACAUAUAAAAAUAUACUCCCACCAGCUAAAAAUGACUAGACUUUUUGCACACACUCAUUACAGUAUGAUCUGCUCAACACCAUUUCUGACUGCAUUUGUGGCUGGAACCCUCACCCUUUUCAUGCUUGAGACAAACAAGUAAUGAGCCUAUCAUGUUUUGGGGAGACAAUUUGAUUAUAAGCAAUUUGUCUGAGUCUGUUCAGCUAAUUCAAUAAUUCAGCCCUAAGAGCCUGUAUUUUUCACUUUCAGGCAAAGAAAUAUGUGGAAACUCCAGUGUAAGACUGUCACAUCUAAGUAACAGCAGCUCCUGAUCAUCACUGACUGUUUGUUCUGUAUUGUUGGAGCUAGGAUGUGAGGAAUGCUAAUUCCAUGUCAUAUCCAUGACCUGGCACCUCAGUCUAGAAAAAUGUUUUACUUUGACUAAAUUUUGCUCUAAAUUUUGCACACCAUAUGCUGCUCUUAAGAACUUCAUCCAGAGUUGUGUAUUUCUCUCUGAUGAGUGCUUCUCAGCUCAGGUUAAAAUUUCAUUCAUUUUUGUUAAUAGAUUUAUUGUUUGUUAAGGAAUUUAUAGGUGAUUUUAUUUAUAUAUAUAUAUAUAUAUUUGUUCUUGAUUUGUAGAGACCUAAGGAUCCUUCCUCAGAGCCCCAAAGAUCCUUUAAUGAGUAUAUUUAUACAUUAAUCCAUCUGUCUAGGUUAUCAUUAGGGUCAUCAUCAUUCAUUGAGGGCCUUGGGUAUUUUAUUUAUCUAAAGGGUAACUUACAGAUAAUUAUUUAAUUUUGGUUCAUUCUUAUGCUGGAUAUUAUUUGUCAAUUUAAGUCACCACUUUAAAGUAUUCACAUUGUGUCUGAUUGGACUGUCCAGUUGCAUGUUUUAUGGAAAGUGAGGAUGAGAUUGUAUUUGUAAAAACGUAUGAGCUCCUUAUGGAAAUGAAUAUUAGGGACAAGUUGUCAUGCAGUCAUUGGCUGUUCCACUGCAUAAACAUUUUGAAAGGGACUUAGACAUUAUUACUCUGUAACAUGCAUUGCUUUGGAAAACUCUUUUUUCCUAAGACAGCCACACCUUUAUUUCCAAAUAUCUUUAAUCAUCUACAGUGUAGGACCAUGAAAUUAAUUCUCAAAACUUAUAGGGUAGACAUGCAUAAACAGGGGACCUCUUUUCUUAACCACACAAAGCAAACACGCAUUCCAGUUAAUCUGUAUGGGAUCAGAGAGAUAAAGGUAAUAUAUAUAUCUCAGUUGUGCGAGCAGUCAUACAAAAUAUAUAGUUCUUUUGAUAGCAUCAGAAAGUUCCCCAUAUUUGAAUACUUCAUUCUCCUGACAAACACUUUGAACAGAACCCACCUAACAAUGGUACAUAAUAGAACUUACUCAAAUAAUAAAGAGCAAAAACGAAAAUAAAAAAAAACAGUCCUAAUUUGUGAAUGCUUUUGUCAACAUCACUUAGUUUAGUUUGAUUGGUUGGAGGAAGGGGGGGUGGGGAGAGAUUAGUUUUGUUGUUCUAUAUGAAAGUAUCCGUAACCCUGGAAGGUUUCACAAAUUUUAGCACAAGUGGUAAUUUAUCUAAAAAUGGAAUUAUGAAAGUUUACAAAUUGUCAUUCUCCUAUUUAAAUAUUUUCUGUCCCCAAGACAUGGAGCUAGAAUGGUAUCAUCUGGCAUGGGUGACCAAUCACAAAAAUGACAAAUAUUCCAAGCAAAUAUUUUGUGACUAAUAAGCUGAUAGAUAGUUAUUAAACCUAUUGGCAAAUACUUAUGCACAAUGAAUACAUUCACAGAUACUAGGAUAGGUUUGCUAACUGGCGACUAAUGAAAAAGGGACUAAAUUAAUAACUUAUAUUGUUCAUAAAAAGAGUUUGAUCAACUCAAGUAACUGUUUUCCAUAAUGUUUAUUAAAUAUUGGCAUGGGAACAUGGGAGCAUUACAGGCAUAGCUUUACACAUACUUUUAUUGAUCGCAGGUCAAUCAUGGGAACCUUAGCUCAGAGUCAAGAAUGGUAUCAGUUUCUGCCCAAGAAAUCCUUUCCUUGAUGACUAAAGAUCGCCUGAUAAAUUCAGACUGGAACUUAAUAUAAUGGCACCAGUUGCUAUACUGAACUGGGGAAGUGAUGUGUCAACAGUCAUAGCAGCAAUGGAAAAUCUGAUUUGCUUAGAAAUUGUACUGUUCAGCUGACCAAAUGGCUCCCUGCCCUGACAAAUGGUGACAGCAGGAUUAAAACCAAACCAACUGCCCUGGUCUACACUAGGGAGUUAUUUCAAAAUAACAAGUGGCAUGUCCACACUGCCAAGUCUGUUAUUUGAAAUUAACAGGCUAGUUGUUUCCAAAUAAUAACUUCUGCUUUCCAUGAGAAAUAAUGCUUAUUUCAAAAUAGCA